rnacentral:rRNA from 1 species
UACAGAGACCCCAAGCAUUAUCCGGAAUUACUGGGCGUAAAGCGCGAGCAGCCGGUCGUAUUAGUCUGAUGUAAAAUCAUGGGGCCCAACCUCAUGACCGCGUCGGAAACGGUACAACUCGAGUAGAUGAGAGGGAGGCAGAACGUAUGGUGUAGGGGUGAAAUCCACUGAUAUUAUACGGAAUACCAAAAGCGAAGGCAGCCUCCUAGCGUCUUACUGACGGUCAAUCGCGAAAGCGUGGGGAUCAAAAAGG